rnacentral:rRNA from 1 species
UACAGAGGUCUCAACCGUUGUCCGGAUUUAUUGGGCGUAAAGAGCUCGUAGGCGGCUUGGCAAGUCGGGUGUGAAAACUCCAGGCUCAACCUGGAGAUGCCACUCGAGACUGCUAUGGCUAGAGUCCGGUAGGGGACCACGGAAUUCCUGGUGUAGCGGUGAAAUACGUAGAGAUUGGGAAGAACACCAGUGGCGAAGGCGGCUAUCUGGACGGUUACUGACGCUAAGACUCGAAAGCGUGGGGAGCAAACAGG